rnacentral:rRNA from 1 species
UACGAGGGGUGCAAGCGUUGCUCGGAAUUAUUGGGCGUAAAUGGUAGGUAGGUGGUCUGAUUUGUCAGGGGUGAAAGCCUUGGGCUUAACCCAAGAAGUGCCCCUGAAACGGUCAGACUGGAGUCUUGGAGAGGGUCGUGGAAUUCCCGGUGUAGCGGUGAAAUGCGUAGAGAUCGGGAGGAACACCAGAGGCGAAGGCGGCGACCUGGACAAGCACUGACACUCAACUACGAAAGCGUGGGGAGCAAACAGG